GAUGAACGCUGGCGGAAUGCUUAACACAUGCAAGUCUACUUGAAAGUUCCUUCGGGAGCGAGUAGGGUGGCGGACGGGUGAGUAACGCGUGAAAAACCUGCCCUGUAGAUUGGGAUAACUCCUCGAAAGAGGAGCUAAAACCAAAUACGCUCUAGACAAGGCAUCUUGAUUAGAGGAAACGCUAUAUGCGCUAUAGGAGGGUUUCGCGUUCCAUUAGCUAGUUGGUAGGGUAGUGGCCUACCAAGGCUUCGAUGGAUAGCCGGCCUUAACGGGUGACCGGCCACAAGGGAACUGAGACACGGUCCUUACUCCUACGGGAGGCAGCAGUGGGGAAUAUUGGACAAUGGGCUAUGGCCUGAUCCAGCAAUUCCGCGUGGAUGAUGAAGGCCUUCGGGUUGUAAAAUCCUUUCAGCAGGGAAGAAAAAAAUGACGGUACCUGCAUAAGAAGCCACGGCUAAUUACGUGCCAGCAGCCGCGGUAAGACGUAAGUGGCAAGCGUUAUUCGGAAUUACUAGGCGUAAAGGGCAUCUAGGCGGCUGUACAAGUCAGGGGUGAAAAUUUGUGGCUCAACCAUAAACCUGCCUUUGAGACUGUAUGGCUAGAGUUCAGGAGAGGAGGGCGGAACUACAAGUGUAGCGGUGAAAUGCGUAGAUAUUUGUAGGAAUGCCAAUGACGAAGGUAGCUCUCUGGACUGUAACUGACGCUGAAGUGCGAAAGCUAGGGGAGCAAACAGGAUUAGAUACCCUGGUAGUCCUAGCUGUAAACGAUGGAUACUGGGUGUGGGAUGUCACAGUUCCGUGCCGGAGUAAACGCAUUAAGUAUCCCACCUGGGGAGUACGUUCGCAAGAAUGAAACUCAAAGGAAUUGACGGGGACCCGCACAAGCGGUGGAGCAUGUGGUUUA
rnacentral:rRNA from 1 species